GCCGCGGUAGCUCAGUCGGUAGAGCAGAGGACUGAAAAUCCUUGUGUCGGCAGUUCAAUUCUGUCCCGCGGCACCA
rnacentral:tRNA from 1 species